rnacentral:rRNA from 1 species
GACGAACGCUGGCGGCGUGCUUCACACAUGCAAGUCGAGCGGGGAUGCAGCAAAAGCUUGCUUUUAUUGCAUCCUAGUGGCGGACGGGUGAGUAACACGUGAGCAACCUGCCCGACAUACUGGGAUAACAGCGGGAAACCGUUGCUAAUACCGGAUACUCCAUUUCUGGCGCAUGUCAGAGCUGGGAAAGGGUUUACCGAUGUCGGAUGGGCUCGCGUCCCAUUAGCUGGUUGGUGAGGUAAAGGCUCACCAAGGCUGCGAUGGGUAGCUGGUCUGAGAGGACGAUCAGCCACACUGGAACUGAGACACGGUCCAGACUCCUACGGGAGGCAGCAGUGGGGAAUAUUGCACAAUGGGCGAAAGCCUGAUGCAGCGACGCCGCGUGGAGGAUGAAGGCCUUCGGGUCGUAAACUCCUGUCUGGGGGGAUGAACACUGACAGUACCCCCGGAGGAAGCCCCGGCUAACUACGUGCCAGCCGCCGCAGUAA